GACGGCUGUAAAAGUUCGACAUCAUGAAAUAAAACGUGAGUUUGUCUGGGGAUAUCUGAAAAGAGAGAAGAGGAUUCAUGAAUUAAUGAAACCACGUCUGUUCGUUGAGAAUAUGAGAGGAUUGACUUCAAUUGGCAGAGGGGAAACGGUCACCACUGAGGACACCUCCACUGCGGGCUUCACAGACGUUUCCAUAUCCACAUAAGGGCCCAGAAAACCUGGCCUGCAACGACGACCCUGGGAGAGG